GGAUGUGAGGUCAUACUGACAGUGAUUUCUGGGAACCCAUUGAAUGUCAGAGUUGAUUCAACAGAUCUGGAAGGUAUUUCCUUCUUUCCUCAACACUUCAGGUAUGUCUGUCUUGAAGCUGUGUGCUUGGUGGAAUAGGACAACCUUAAAUAGAGCUGAAUUGUUCUCUUGCACAGGGCAAGCAUAAUAGCCGAGUUUCCUGAAACCUCCAGACAAACUCCCUCUUAGUCU
rnacentral:sRNA from 1 species